GAUGAACGCUAGCUACAGGCUUAACACAUGCAAGUCGAGGGGUAACGAGAGGAAAGCUUGCUUUCCUCGUCGACGACCGGCGCACGGGUGAGUAACGCGUAUCCAACCUGCCCCCAACUAAGGAAUAACCUUGCGAAAGUAAGACUAAUACCUUAUAAUUUCCUCAGAUGUCAUCUGACGAGGAAUAAAGAUUUAUCGGUUGUGGAUGGGGAUGCGUCUGGUUAGCUUGUUGGCGGGGUAACGGCCCACCAAGGCAACGAUCAGUAGGGGUUCUGAGAGGAAGGUCCCCCACAUUGGAACUGAGACACGGUCCAAACUCCUACGGGAGGCAGCAGUGAGGAAUAUUGGUCAAUGGGCGAAAGCCUGAACCAGCCAAGUAGCGUGCAGGAUGACGGCCCUAUGGGUUGUAAACUGCUUUUAUACAGGAAUAAAGUUAGCCACGUGUGGUUAUUUGUAGGUACUGUAUGAAUAAGGACCGGCUAAUUCCGUGCCAGCCGCCGCGGUAA
rnacentral:rRNA from 1 species